rnacentral:lncRNA from 1 species
CAAUGCAUUGUGCAUCAUCUUCAGGCAAGUCAACAUACAAUAAUUUAAACUUUUCAAACUUACUGAACAUUAUGUUCCAAGAGCAACAGAAAGAAGGUCGUGUCAUGGGCUAUGAAAAUAUUAGGACAAAUAGCCAAUUCAACUAUUAUUAUGACACAGGCACUCGCAAGAUUAAGGGAGGUAAAAUGAAAGAUGGGGUGCUGAUAGCAACGUAUGAUUAUGAGAGCUUAUACCCCCUCCUUGGAGAUUGAGCCUACUUGCCUGGCAUUUUAUAGGUUCUUCCUGAUUAAUACAAUAGAAGCACAAAUUGAAGCAUCUUUGUUAAGAGAUUUAGCGUACCUAGUGACACACAAGUCGUAUUUCACCUUCAAUGGAAAGUAUUACCUACAAUGUAAGAGAGUA